rnacentral:rRNA from 1 species
GAUGAACGCUGGCGGCGUGCCUAAUACAUGCAAGUCGAGCGAACAGACGAGGAGCUUGCUCCUCUGACGUUAGCGGCGGACGGGUGAGUAACACGUGGAUAACCUACCUAUAAGACUGGGAUAACUUCGGGAAACCGGAGCUAAUACCGGAUAAUAUAUUGAACCGCAUGGUUCAAUAGUGAAAGACGGUUUUGCUGUCACUUAUAGAUGGAUCCGCGCCGCAUUAGCUAGUUGGUAAGGUAACGGCUUACCAAGGCAACGAUGCGUAGCCGACCUGAGAGGGUGAUCGGCCACACUGGAACUGAGACACGGUCCAGACGCCUACGGGAGGCAGCAGUAGGGAAUCUUCCGCAAUGGGCGAAAGCCUGACGGAGCAACGCCGCGUGAGUGAUGAAGGUCUUCGGAUCGUAAAACUCUGUUAUUAGGGAAGAACAAAUGUGUAAGUAACUAUGCACGUCUUGACGGCACCUAAUCAGAAAGCCACGGCUAACUACGUG